rnacentral:rRNA from 1 species
GACGAACGCUGGCGGCGUGCUUAACACAUGCAAGUCGAGCGGUAAGGCCCUUCGGGGUACACGAGCGGCGAACGGGUGAGUAACACGUGGGUGAUCUGCCUCGCACUUCGGGAUAAGCCUGGGAAACUGGGUCUAAUACCGGAUAUGACCUUUCAGUGCAUGCUGUUUGGUGGAAAGAUUUAUCGGUGCGAGAUGGGCCCGCGGCCUAUCAGCUUGUUGGCGGGGUAACGGCCCACCAAGGCGACGACGGGUAGCCGACCUGAGAGGGUGACCGGCCACACUGGGACUGAGACACGGCCCAGACUCCUACGGGAGGCAGCAGUGGGGAAUAUUGCACAAUGGGCGAAAGCCUGAUGCAGCGACGCCGCGUGAGGGAUGACGGCCUUCGGGUUGUAAACCUCUUUCGACAGGGACGAAGCGCAAGUGACGGUACCUGUAGAAGAAGCACCGGCCAACUACGUGCCAGCAGCC